UUGAUUCAGAUUUGAUUCAGACACACUCACGUCUGCAUAAAGGCGGCGCCUUCAGGCGCCGAAGCACGUCAUGGCUUCCACGGGUUUGAGGUUGAAGGCCCAAGGGCCAUUCGUUAAUGAUCCCUCCGCAGGUUCACCUACGGAGA
rnacentral:misc_RNA from 1 species